rnacentral:tRNA from 1 species
GGUUAUGGCUCAGUGGUAGAGCGCUUGCCUAGCACAUGCAAAGCCCUGGGUUCGAUCCUCAGCACCA